ensembl:lncRNA LINC02613 long intergenic non-protein coding RNA 2613
UGCAACUACCACCUCUUUCUAGGGGUGAAGGGAACUUUAUCCACCUAGAGCCAAUAUUAUUUGAGAAGAGCUCUUAGGAGAGCUAAGGGUGAAGUAUGAGGCCAGAGGGUGGACAGGGGUGGAGUGAAGCAGGCGACAGUAGGGUGGGAAUCAGUUGGUCUGAGGUGCCAAGGUGGUCAGGGAAUCAGGGGUGAUGGAAUCCCAGAGGAGAGAAGUGAUAUGGUUUGGCUCUGUGUCCCUACCCAAAUCUCAUCUGGAAUUGUAAUCCUCAUGUGUCCGGGGAGGAACCUGGUGGGAGGUGAUUGGAUCAUGGGGGCAGAUUUCCCCCAUGUUGUUCUAGUGAUAGUGAGUGCUCACAAGAUCGAUGCUUUAAAAGUGUUUAGCAGUUUCCCACUUUGCUCUCUCUUUCUCUCUCCUGCCACUAUGAGAAGAGGUGCCUUGCUUUCCCUUUGCCUUCCACCAGGAUUGUAAGUUUCCUGAGGCCUUCCCAGCCAUGCAGAACGGGAAGAGGGAAGGUGAGCUGUUUUGCAAUAAUUCCUCCAAGUCUUCAGACUCUGGCAAUAAAGAAACAUGUUCAGAAACAAAGACCACACCUUCCCCAUGGCAGCUCAGAGAAAGACGAACCCGGCUGCCUGCAUCAUUCUCUUAAGGGCACAGCUGCAGGAUAGCUUCAGCUGCACUGGUCUGGAAACUCUCAAAAGUGGGUCAAGACUCUCAGACUGGUUUUAGCGUAGUUGUAUAUUCCUGACCCAUUUCUGCAGGGAAAGGGAAGGACAUGAAGACUGCAGUUGCAGGCUUUGGACAUAUGAAAAAACCAACAGAUGGCGGCACUGCCAAAUUACAGGCAGAAUGCAUGGGGUGGCUUGGCCUUCCCCACCACCUGCUUCCUCUUCUUUGACACCUUUCCUCCAGGAUCAAAGAUAUGUAUUUGUGCCAGGAGAAAAACUGCAGUAGAGCUUGGCUUAGUUGUCAGUGGGGCAACACUCAGAAGACUAAUUGCCGUGACGGUAGCAAGUGAGCCCCAGAAAAAUCUGGGAUGUAAAACCAUCUGAGACCAUUCAGUUGAAGCUAUCUUUAAGAGCUGUCAGACUUUAUGGUUAGUCCUCCACUCCUAGCAGAGAAAAGAACCUUCGAGCUUGCUAUUUCCUCUCUCUAGUCUUACUGUCUUUGUAUUCCCAAUGUCUAGCAAAGUGGCUGGCAUAUGACGGAUACUUAGAUAAUGUUUGCCAAACCAAUCCAGAAGGAGACAUUUAGGGAAAGCUUCAAGGCCAUUUGGAAAAAUGGCCUUUCUGUUUGGUAGGUAGUGACCUGGAAAAAAGAGGAGCUGCUAAAUAAAACCUUGGAUCCACCCAGAACCCUAUUUUGGGGAUGGUCUCUUUUGGAGGCUUUAGAUGAUGCUGAAUGUUCUGGGGUUAGAGUCUGGGAGGACUUCAUGUUGAGGUAGGAAAAUUCUAUAGCUAAAUCUGGAGAGACAGAGGCAAGAAGCUCCUUCUAAAAUCAGAGUAGGAAAAAAUAUAAUCUGGGGACACAGGGAUGUUUUUACUGAAAACUCAAAUGGUCAAUAGUGAGGCCCCGGUCCAGUAAUGCUGGCAGUCAGACUUAAGGUCUAGGGCAAUAAGAAUCUAGCCUUAAAAAAUAGAAUCAGGCCGGGCACGGUGGCUCACACCUGUAAUCCCAGCACUUUGGGAGGCCGAGGUGGG